CAACUGGGCCAGGUGAUCGCGGGCGCGGCGGCAACGCCGCGCGUGAGGAAAGUCCGGGCUCCGCAGGGCAAGGUGCUGGAUAACGUCCAGUGGGGGCGACCCCAAGGAAAGUGCCACAGAAAUCAAACCGCCCUUCCGGCGUGGGCUUUGGCUCACAUCGGGAACGGCAAGGGUGAAACGGCGAGGUAAGAGCUCACCGGCGGCCAGGUGACUGGCCGGCCAGGUAAACCCCACCUGGAGCAAGGCCGAAUAGGAGGGAGAUCGGGUGGCCCGCCCGUCCCUCGGGUAAGGUCGCUGGAGGUGUCUGGCAACAGGCAUCCUAGAUAGAUGAUCAUCCACGACAGAACCCGGCUUAUCGGCCCAGUUGCCUU
rnacentral:RNase_P_RNA from 1 species